UAAUAAUAAUGCAGAAAGCAAAAUAACUUCCGGUAUCUUCUGCCACGUUUAAAAUCUCCAAAUAACACUUUGCAUGUGUUAUACUGUUGAUAUACAAGCCAUGGUAUAAUUUAUUAUAUGUGUUCUGAAAUGGCUCCAUCGUCAUUUUAAAAUUUGAAAUUUUCUGAGGUGUCUCAUCUUGAGGAAUAUUUAUUGAGCUACUGAUCCUACCUCAAAAUAAUCUGGCCGGGAUCUAUGGGGUAGUGUGUAUAACUAUUGGAAACAUAAUGUAAAGCAACAGAAUGGAUAAAUACUGUAGAUAGACAACUCAGAAGAAGUAAUAUGUCUUCCUUUACCAACACACGCAGCCUUGUGGCACUUUGUUCCCUUGCAAACUUCAUCAAUGCAGCGGAUAGAGUUAUCAUGCCUAUAGCUAUUAUACAGAUGACAGAUGAGUACAAAUGGGAUCUCCAUGGACAGGGCUGGGUCUUGAGCUCAUUUGCCAUUGGAUACAUGAGUAGUCAGGUGAUAGGAGGAAGUCAUGCGCAGAAGUACGGAGGCAAAUCUAUCCUGGCAUUGGCCGUCUUCAUGUGGUCAUUGUCUACAUUCAUCACUCCACUCUUUGCCCAUUCAAUAUAUGCCUUGAUAUUUCUCCGGGUGAUAUUAGGCGUUGGGGAGGGAUUAGGAUUACCUACCAUAUUUCACAUAUUUGCUCACACCAUUCCUGUAGAGGAAAGAUCUCGUGCAUUCGGUUAUCUGGUUGCUGCAGGUUCCAUAGGACAGACAGCAGCAGCCUUGAUUUGCCCCCAUUUACCAUGGAGAUGGACAUUUUAUCUAUUUGGGUCUCUGGGGUUUGUGUGGGUGCUACUAUGGAUGGUGAUUUACACAGAGGUUCGGCGAACACCCGAUGAGGAGGAAUUUAUACAACCACCUAAGGUAACAAACAGCAAUGUGCGGUGGAUUGAGUUUGUAGCCCACUGGCCACUAUGGGCCAUGUAUGUAGCUCAUUUUAGUAUGAACUGGUCUAACUAUAUAAUCAUGCAGUGGCUACCUACAUAUUUAGCAAGGAAUCUAGGAGCAGAGAAACAUGACAUUAUGUUCACAGCAGUGCCUUAUAUAAUGAAUUCUUUAGUUGGGAUGGCGGCAGGGCAUUUUGCUGAUGCCCUGGUGUCUAAAAAAUGGACAGUAUUAUCUGUGAGGCGACUCAUGACUAGUAUAGGCCUCCUAGGGCCAGGAUUAUUUAUUCUAUUCUUCAGUGGUGUAAAAAGCCUUGCAUGGGCAGUUAUAUUUGUGUCAUUAUCAAUGGGACUAAGUGCGUGCAAUUCAUCUGGCCAUCUCAGUAAUCAUGCUGAUGUAGCACCCACCUAUGCUGGCAUCACAUUUGCAGUAUCAAAUACUUUAGCUACAAUUCCAGGGAUUUUAUGUGGACCUUUGACAGCCGAAUUAGUGACUCAGUCUAAUGGUAGAUGGUUUCCAGUGUUUAUCAUAGCAUCAUUAGUGAACUUUGUAGGCGCAAUAGUGUACCUCAGCCAAAGUGCAGCUAGCCAAGUGUUGUGAGACACCAUUUGUUUUGAGACACCUGCUCAUGGGUGAUACCUUUAGUGUAGAACUCUAAUGUUGCAUGUGAUGAAUAGCUUUGCCUGUAGGAAUGUAAGCAGACUUGCCAUAAUUUUUUUGUUCAGUGCAAGAACUAUUCAUGAAAUAAGUGAACUAUUAUUUCGUGUUCAAGCCUUUUCUAUUAGGGUUGAUCAACUGGUCAUUAAAUGCCUAAAAUCCAUUAAUGAAACAUUGCUCUACACAUCACCAGAUUAUAAACCCACCUAUUAGACAAUGAUGUCUUGUUUUAAUGUCAUCUUAUCAUGGUGCAUUGCUAAAUGGUGCAUAGCUAAAAAUACAACUGAG
rnacentral:misc_RNA from 1 species